rnacentral:lncRNA from 1 species
AUAGAUGACAGAGAAUCAAAACAAAAAAAUAACUAACUUCAAGUUGUUAAUAGUUAGGUACAGUUGCUUGCUAUAUAAGUAACUUCAUCUUCAAGUACCAAUUGUGAUUUUGAGCAAUAAGAUAUUCGUAUACCACUUUCCUUGAUGGAUUUAAAUGAUUUCUAAUUGUUUAGCUUGAGUUUUAACAGGUUUGCUAGUUUCUAUAAGAAUAUAGCAUAAAGUGUUCCAUUCAAAUUCUUCAAAAUU